CAGUAGCCGCGGUAAUACGAAGGGUGCAAGCGUUACUCGGAAUUACUGGGCGUAAAGCGCACGUAGGCGGAUUUUUAAGUCAGGGGUGAAAUCCCAGGGCUCAACCCUGGAACUGCCUUUGAUACUGUCGAUCUGGAGUAUGGAAGAGGUGAGUGGAAUUCCGAGUGUAGAGGUGAAAUUCGUAGAUAUUCGGAGGAACACCAGUGGCGAAGGCGGCUCACUGGUCCAUUACUGACGCUGAGGUGCGAAAGCGUGGGGAGCAAACAGGAUUAGAUACCCCCGUAGUCCCUGUCUCUUAUAC
rnacentral:rRNA from 1 species